CAUAUACUCCCUCCGUCCUGUAUUACUUGUCUUGGAUUUGUCUAGAUACGGAUGUAUCUAGACCGGACGUAUAUAGACAGUUUUAGUGUUAGAUACAUCUGUAUCUAGAAACAAGUAAUUUGGGACGGAGGUAAUAUAUG
rnacentral:pre_miRNA from 1 species